rnacentral:rRNA from 1 species
GACGAACGCUGGCGGCGUGCUUAACACAUGCAAGUCGAACGCUGAAGCUUGGUGCUUGCACUGGGUGGAUGAGUGGCGAACGGGUGAGUAAUACGUGAGUAACCUGCCCUUGACUCUGGGAUAAGCCUGGGAAACUGGGUCUAAUACUGGAUACGACAUGGCACCGCAUGGUGGUGUGUGGAAAGGGUUUUACUGGUUUUGGAUGGGCUCACGGCCUAUCAGCUUGUUGGUGGGGUAAUGGCUCACCAAGGCGACGACGGGUAGCCGGCCUGAGAGGGUGACCGGCCACACUGGGACUGAGAGACGGCCCAGACUCCUACGGGAGGCAGCAGUGGGGAAUAUUGCACAAUGGGCGGAAGCCUGAUGCAGCGACGCCGCGUGAGGGAUGACGGCCUUCGGGUUGUAAACCUCUUUCAGCACGGAAGAAGCGAAAGUGACGGUACGUGCAGAAGAAGCGCCGGCUAACUACGUG